GAUGAACGCUGGCGGCGUGCCUAAUACAUGCAAGUCGAGCGAAUGGAUUAAGAGCUUGCUCUUAUGAAGUUAGCGGCGGACGGGUGAGUAACACGUGGGUAACCUGCCCAUAAGACUGGGAUAACUCCGGGAAACCGGGGCUAAUACCGGAUAACAUUUUGAACCGCAUGGUUCGAAAUUGAAAGGCGGCUUCGGCUGUCACAUAUGGAUGGACCGGCGUCGCAUUAGCUAGUCGGUGAGGUAAAGGCUCACCAAGGCAACGAUGCGUAGCCGACCUGAGAGGGUGAUCGGCCACACUGGGACUGAGACACGGCCCAGACUCCUACGGGAGGCAGCAGUAGGGAAUCUUCCGCAAUGGACGAAAGUCUGACGGAGCAACGCCGCGUGAGUGAUGAAGGCUUUCGGGUCGUAAAACUCUGUUGUUAGGGAAGAACAAGUGCUAGUUGAAUAAGCUGGCACAUUGACGGUACCUAACCAGAAAGCCACGGCUAACUACGUGCCAGCCGCCGCCGUAA
rnacentral:rRNA from 1 species